AUUGAACGCUGGCGGCAGGCCUAACACAUGCAAGUCGAACGAGUGGCGGACGGGUGAGUAAUUUCUGGGAAACUGCCAGAUGGAGGGGGAUAACUACUGGAAACGGUAGCUAAUACCGCAUACCAUCAGAUGUGCCCAGAUGGGAUUAGCUAGUUGGUGGGGUAACGGCUCACCAAGGCGACGAUCCCCAGCUGGUCUGAGAGGAGGACCAGCCACGCGGUAACUGAGCCACGGGCCAGACUCCUACGGGAGGCAGCAGUGGGGAAUAUUGCACAAUGGGCGCAAGCCUGAUGCAGCCAUGCCGGGUAUAUGAAGAAGGCCGUCGGGGUGUAAAGUACUUGCAGCGGGGAGGCGUUACCCGCAGAAGAAGCACCGGCUAACGCCGUGCCAGCAGCCGCGGUAAUAC
rnacentral:rRNA from 1 species